GACAGAGGAUGCAAGCGUUAUCCGGAAUGAUUGGGCGUAAAGCGUCUGUAGGUGGCUUUUAAGUCCGCCGUCAAAUCCCAGGGCUCAACCCUGGACAGGCGGUGGAAACUACCAAGCUGGAGUACGGUAGGGGCAGGAGGGAAUUUCCGGUGGAGCGGUGAAAUGACGUUGAGAUCGGAAGGAACGCCCGUGGCGAAAGCGGGCUCCUGGACCCCACCUGACGCUGAGACGCGAAAGCCAGGGGAGCGAACGGG
rnacentral:rRNA from 1 species